CCAUCAAGCAUCCAUCGCAAAUGUUCGCCGGCAGCCGCGACGCGCGCAAUGACGUCAUCGGGAAACGGUGCGCCGGCUGCUCUGGCAACAAUGAAUGCAAGAAGAUACCACUCGCAGGUGAAUGCGGUGUAUGUCGGCGACUGUUCCGCACCCACGCCAUCGUGAUGAAUCUGACGAAAGACCUCAGCAAUGAGUGUAUCACGGGCAGCCAAUGCAUCGGUUGCAGUACGUUGCCCUUGCCAAAGGGUUCC
rnacentral:misc_RNA from 1 species